rnacentral:rRNA from 1 species
UACGGAGGGGGCAAGCGUUGUUCGGAAUUACUGGGCGUAAAGGGCGCGCAGGCGGCUGCUCAAGUCAGGCGUGAAAGGCCUGGGCUCAACCCGGGAAUUGCGCUUGAGACUGGGCUGGCUUGAGUGCGGGAGAGGAUGGUGGAAUUCCCGAGUGUAGAGGUGAAAUUCGUAGAUAUUGGGAAGACACCGGUGGCGAAGGCGGCCAUCUGGACCGCAACUGACGCUGAGGCGCGAAAGCGUGGGGAGCAAGCAGG